rnacentral:rRNA from 1 species
GACGAACGCUGGCGGCGUGCUUAACACAUGCAAGUCGAACGAGAGCGUAGAGAAAGCUUGCUUUUUCUACAAUCUAGUGGCAAACGGGUGAGUAACGCGUAAACAGCCUGCCCUACGGAUGGGGACAACAGCUGGAAACGGCUGCUAAUACCGAAUACGUUCCGAAAGUCGCAUGACUAUCGGAAGAAAGGAUGGCCUCUAUUUAUAAGCUAUCGCCGGAGGAGGGGUUUGCGUCUGAUUAGCUAGUUGGAGGGGUAACGGCCCACCAAGGCGACGAUCAGUAGCCGGUCUGAGAGGAUGAACGGCCACAUUGGAACUGAGACACGGUCCAGACUCCUACGGGAGGCAGCAGUGGGGAAUCUUCCGCAAUGGGCGAAAGCCUGACGGAGCAACGCCGCGUGAGUGAAGACGGCCUUCGGGUUGUAAAGCUCUGUUAUACGGGACGAAAAAUCUUGUGGUUAAUACCCAUGAGAAGUGACGGUACCGUAAGAGAAAGCCACGGCUAACUACGUG